rnacentral:rRNA from 1 species
GACGUAGGGGGCAAGCGUUAUUCGGAAUUAUUGGGCGUAAAGCGUGCGUAGGCGGAUUCGUAAGUCGGGGUUGAAAUAUCCGGGCUCAACUCGGGGCACGGCCUCGAUACUACGGAUCUCGAGUCGAGAAGAGGGUAGUGGAAUUCCCGGUGUAGCGGUGAAAUGCGUAGAUAUCAGGAGGAACACCGGUGGCGAAGGCGGGUCUCUGGGCAGUAACUGACGCUGAGGAGCGAAAGCGUGGGGAGCGAACAGG